AGAACGAACGCUGGCGGCAGGCUUAACACAUGCAAGUCGAACGGUUGUAGCAAUACAGCAGUGGCAGACGGGUGAGUAACACGUGGGAACCUUCCUAGGGGUACGGAACAACUCAGGGAAACUUGAGCUAAUACCGUAUACGUCCGUGAGGAGAAAGAUUUAUCGCCCCUAGACGGGCCCGCGUAGGAUUAGGUAGUUGGUGAGGUAACGGCUCACCAAGCCUACGAUCCUUAGCUGAUCUGAGAGGAUGAUCAGCCACACUGGGACUGAGACACGGCCCAGACUCCUACGGGAGGCAGCAGUGGGGAAUCUUGGACAAUGGGCGCAAGCCUGAUCCAGCCAUGCCGCGUAAGUGAAGAAGGCCUUCGGGUUGUAAAGGCUCGUUUUAACCAGGGUACGAAUAACUGACGGUACCUGGACGAAUAAGCCCGGCAAACUUCGUGCCAGCAGCCGAC
rnacentral:rRNA from 1 species